rnacentral:tRNA from 1 species
GAGGGGUUGGCGCAAUGGUAGACGCAGCCUUACCAUAUUAGGUGACGGUUCGCUUUAAUGAGUAACGUUUAGAGUUGAAGCGAUUUGAAAUAGUAAACGUAUGCGGGUUCGAUUCCCGCACUCCUCA